AUAGAAAUUAUUAAUUUUAUUUUAUUUAAAUUAAAAUAUUUUAUAAAAGUAAUUUAAUUAUUUAUUGUUUUAGUAUUUAGUAAAAAUAAAUUUGUAGAUUUAUAGUUUAAUAGUAUUGUAUAAGAAUUUUUUUAAAUUUGGAAAAGAAUUGAAUUUUUAGUACCUUUUGUAUCAGGGUUGAUUAAAAUUUUUAAUUUAAUUUUAAAUUCUCAAAAUAUAUAGAGUUAAUUUUAUUAUUAAUUUAUUAUUUUAUAAAUAUUUAGAAAAUAAUUUUAGUUUUGAAAUUUAAUUCGUUAUAUAAUAUUUAGUUAUUUAAGAAUUAAAUUUAAUUUAUAAUUUUAAAAGUUUUAUUUAUAAUAUUAAAUAUAAAUUUAUUUUAAAUUUAAAUUAUUUUAGGGAUAAGCUUGAAAUUUUUAUAUAAUAAUAUAUUUAUUAAAUAAUUUUUAGGAAUAGAAAUUUUUAUUUAAGUUUGUAAAAAUUUAUUAUUUAAGUUUAUUUAAUUUAUUAUAAGUUAUUUAUUUUUAAUAUUAAAUUUUAUGAAUUAAUAAUUUAUUUAUAGUAAUAAUGAUUAAAUUAGUAUAAUUAAAUUAUUUAUAAAUUAUGAAUUCGGCAAAAAUUAUUUUCAUCUGUUUAACAAAAACAUAGUAUUAAGAUUUAUUUAAUAUAGAAUCUGCUCAAUGAUUUAAUUUAAAUAGCUGCAGUAUUUUGACUGUGCAAAGGUAGCAUAAUAAUUAGUCUUUUAAUUGGGGACUGGGAUGAAAGAUUUGAUGAGAAAUAAACUUUAUUAUUUAUAAAAUUAAAAUUUUAUUUUUAAGUAAAAAAGCUUAAAUAUUUUAAAGGGACGAUAAGACCCUAUAAAACUUUAUAAUUAUUAUUAUUAAAAUUUUUGGGUUAUAUAAAUUUUGAUAUUUUUAAUUAUUUUAUUGGGGUGAUAAAAAAAAUUAUUUAACUUUUUUUAAAAUUUUACAUUAAUUAAUGAUAUUUUGAAUUAAAAUUUUUAAUUAUAUGAAAAAGUUACUUUAGGGAUAACAGCGUAAUUAAUUUUUUAAGUCCAAAUUUAAAAAUUAGUUUGCGACCUCGAUGUUGAAUUAAGAUUAGUCUUAGGUGCAAAAUUUUAAGUUAUAGGUCUGUUCGACCUUUAAAUUCUUACAUGAUUUGAGUUCAAACCGGUGUAAGCCAGGUUGGUUUCUAUCUUUUAAAAUUAAAUUUAUUUUAGUACGAAAGGAUUAAAUAAUUAAAUGAUAUUUUUAUUAAUGAAUAAAAUUAAUUGG
rnacentral:rRNA from 2 species